rnacentral:rRNA from 1 species
CCUACGGGUGGCAGCAGUGGGGAAUAUUGCACAAUGGGGGGAACCCUGAUGCAGCGACGCCGCGUGAGUGAAGAAGUAUUUCGGUAUGUAAAGCUCUAUCAGCAGGGAAGAAAAUGACGGUACCUGACUAAGAAGCCCCGGCUAACUACGUGCCAGCAGCCGCGGUAAUACGUAGGGGGCAAGCGUUAUCCGGAUUUACUGGGUGUAAAGGGAGCGCAGACGGCUGUGCAAGUCUGGAGUGAAAGGCGGGGGCCCAACCCCCGGACUGCUCUGGAAACUGUAAAGCUGGAGUGCAGGAGAGGUAAGCGGAAUUCCUAGUGUAGCGGUGAAAUGCGUAGAUAUUAGGAGGAACACCAGUGGCGAAGGCAGCUUUCCAAGCUAUUACUGACGCUGAGGCACGAAAGCGUGGGGAGCGAACAGGAUUAGAUACCCGAGUAGUC